UUGAAUAUCUUGCCUAAAUGUUGCUACAGAGCGUUGAUGUAUACCUCGUAAAUAUAACAGGACGAUUAAUAUUAAAUACUUUUCCCAAAACUUGUUUUGAUAUCAAACAAAAGAAACCUAUCACUAACUAACGAAUAAGAAUCAUUGAGCUUAUUAAGUAUCAGCUUAUAUUUGGACACGGGAUCGAUCAAAUCUAUAUGUAAAGGCAUUGAGAAAGUUAACUAAAUAUCAGUUUUUUAGGUUUUUCUUAUAUAACAUUAAUAUAACAACUACGCAUCAUAUCUAAUUUUAUCCAUAUUCUAAAGCAGUGUAAUUUUAUUGUUCUUUGUGUUUAUAAAUAUCUUCAAGUUGAACAGCCAAAGAAUAAGUAUAUAGAUACUUACAAUACAUUCCCUGAACUAGUAGUAGUAUGAAACUUUCUCGUUAGAUAGCACAAUCACAAUAUUUCUGCAGAUGGUAGAAAUAACACUGUGUAUGAAAAUUAUCCGUCCAUCAGUAAAGCCCCUGCUCUCUAUUCUGCUGUCAAAGUCAGUGCAGAGCCAACUUAGACAGACUCUAUGCAUAGACUUUCUUUACCAUCUUAAUAGAUUAAGUAAAAAAUAUUUGAAAUUGGAAUGUCAUAUUGACAAAUUGCAGUUAUGUCAUAAAUAUUGGUGAACAAUGUAUCAAACAAUAUUCAAUAAUAAAAUGUGGUUAUUUGGAUUGUUUUUGUAGAAUUGAAGAGACUUAUCUAAUGAAGGAAGUCGUUUGUCAUGGGUUUUUGUGGUUUUCUAAUUAAAAAUGGGAUAGUUUUUGGAGCUGGAAUGUAUGCAGGAGUGUAUGUAGCCCAAAAUUAUCAGGGUGCGUUAGUAUAUUUCUGUGAGAAAACGAGUAAAGCUUGUGACGAAGCAAUGGAUAAUAAAAAGCGAUGAUAGACAAAGUGGAAGACCCAAAGGUGUUAUUUAACAAAGUUUAUGAUAAAAUUAAAGAGAAAGUUGAUGAAGUAAAAAAAGACAAAUGAAACUCAAUAUGGAGAAGUAACUGAAGAAAAUGCAUUCAAUUUUGUAAAUAUGAUUUAUUUUAGUUAUUGUUAUACAAUGAUAAUUUAAAUAGUAAUAAAUAAUAUUUACUGAAA
rnacentral:misc_RNA from 1 species